GAGGUUCCAUGGGGACUCUGGGAGCACUGCCUUACCGCGUCUUACCGAGAGGCUGACUUCCUGAGGGUCUUCCAGAGGAGGUGCCUCCAGCCCCCAGACAGACAGGGUGGGGCCCGAGCGCAUUUGAUAGCUCCUGCCUUUAGGAGGGUGUGAGCGCACGGCCUCCUGUGCACUGGUUGGGCUCCCUGGCACUGGGUAGAGACCAGGACAUACAUGGUGAGAGCCCAAGAACCUGGAGGGCAUGGAAAUGAAACCACAGACUGGGGCAUGGUCUGGUCGACCCUGACCCCGGAACUCUUCCUUUCCGUCUUCACGGAUUUGUACUCGGGGUAGAGACCACUGAGGUACCUCAUCCAAAGCCUAGCCACGAUGGCAGCCAUGCCACACAGCGGCUCCUUUAAAGGCCGUGUGCCGAGUCUGGCCCUCUCCUUGCUUACCUGCGUUUGUUCUCACCUCACUCUCACAGCUCUCCUGUGCAGGACAUCCUCAAGAAGACACCUAAAGUCUACAAGCAGGAGUCCCAGCUCUCACUGGGUGGCCAGCGCUGUGUAGGAGAGCUAGACGAGGAACUGGCUGGUGCCUUCCCUCUCUUCAUCCGGAAUGCCGUCCGGGGUCAGAAACAGCCCCACAGGACCACCGCAGCUUCCCGGUGCAGCACAGAUGCGGUAAGAGUAGGCUUCGAUGGGCUUGGAGGACGGACAAAAUUCAUCCAGCCUACAGACUCAGCCAUUAUCCGGCCGAUGCCUGUUAAGCCCAAGGCCAAGAGUAAGCAGAAAGUGAGAAUAAAGACUGUGAAUUCUUCCUCCCAACCCAAGCUGGACACCUUCCUGUGGCAGUGAGCAGUGACCAGAGUCAUGUCUCCAAUUAGUAGGCCAAGACCUCUGCCAACCCAGGAGUGUUUGAGGAGAAGGCUCCUCUUCCUGGACAGUGCAAGGACAGCAGAAACUGCACUUCCUGUGUUCGCCUUGCCCUGCACCACACGGAUUCACCUCCGGGAGCUGACAUGACCAGGUUACAGUUCCGGUCAGCAGGACCUGCUUCCAGUUGCAGGGUUUUGCAUAUAGCUACAACCAGAUGUGGCUGGGCUCCUUCUGUUUUUAUAGUCCAGGGUCACAUGUGACUGUAGAUGAAAGUGCUGGAGGAUUCCUAAGCAGGCGAGCCUGAACUUCUGCCUGCCUCCAGCUGCGUCUUGCUCAGUGUAUCUGAGCUUGAACUAGUGGAUGUUAGGGAAGUGGGGGAAGUUUUCCAUGUAAAAUAAAAAAGUAUCUUUUCUUCCUGGC